CCUCCAAUUUUCUGCCACCGAAUACAUUAGCAUGGGAUAAUGGAAUAGGACCCUGUCCUCCUAUUUUCAGUUGGUUUUGGCAGCGCGAGGACUAGGGUAAUGAUUAAUAGGGAUAGUUGGGGGCAUUAAUAUUUAAUUGUCAGAGGUGAAAUUCUUGGAUUUAUGAAAGAUUAACUUCUGCGAAAGCAUCUGCCAAGGAUGUUUUCAUUAAUCAAGAACGAAAGUUAGGGGAUCGAAGACGAUCAGAUACCGUCGUAGUCUUAACCAUAAACGAUGCCGACCAGCGAUUAGGAGACGUUGAAUACAAAACACCACCAUCGGUUGCGGUCGUCCUUGGCGUCUCGGUUUCGGCCGGGGCGCGGGGAUGGCUUAGCCCGGUGGCACCGGUGAAUGACUCCCCUAGCAGCUUGUGA
rnacentral:rRNA from 1 species